rnacentral:tRNA from 1 species
GGGGAAGUAGCUCAAUUGAUAGAGCACCGCACUCGCACUGCGGAGGUUGGGAGUUUGAGGCUCCUCUUCUCCACCA